AGCUCCAAUAGCGUAUAUUAAAGUUGUUGCAGUUAAAAAGCUCGUAGUUGGAUUUCGGCGUGGGCCAGUUGGUCCGCCGCAAGGUGUGUUACUGACUGGUUUGCUCUUCUUCGCAAAGACUGCGUGUGCUCUUCAGUGAGUGUGCGUAGGAUUUACGACGUUUACUUUGAAAAAAUUAGAGUGUUCAAAGCAGGCUAUUGCUUGAAUACAUGAGCAUGGAAUAAUGGAAUAGGACUUUGGUCCCAUUUUGUUGGUUUCUAGGUCCGAAGUAAUGAUUAAGAGUGACAAUUGGGGGCAUCCGUAUUUCGUUGUCAGAGGUGAAAUUCUUGGAUUUACGAAAGACGAACAACUGCGAAAGCACUUGCCAAGAGUGUUUUCA
rnacentral:rRNA from 1 species